UCCUACAUUUUAGGAUGCUUGGCCAAUAGUUAGAAAGGGAAGAGAGUCCCACCGAGAGGGAAGCUUUCUCCCUCUCUUGGUGGAGUUCAGCCACAUGAGUCCUAAAUUAAUUAGGAUUUGUGGCAAGGAUGCUUCAAGAAUGUCGAAAUCUAUCCUCUAAAGUCCUAAAUGGUUUUCUUUCUUCAUCAAUUAAUAUUCAGAGGAGUUGGAUUCACGGUUGACAAAGGAAAACUCAAGGGAAGUCAAAUUCUUAUCCUAUCCGAAAUUCUUCCUUGAUUUUCUCAUGGAAGAUGAACUGUUUUCUACUUUAACUUGAAAGUUUGUUAAGGUACCUUCAAUACAACUUCUUCACCAAAAUUAAUUAAUUAUUGAAGUCUAAAUCCAAUCAAGAUAUGAAGGAAGAAUUCGGCCAUAAGUAAAAAUCUCAUCCAGGAGAGAAGAGUAUAUUCAUUUUAUAUUUAUGAGUCUCUUAUUUAAUUUUUAGUUAAUAAAAUUGUAUUUAGAAUUUUUCUAAAAUUUCUUUUUUGAUUUCUACUCGAAUUAGUAAAGGCCUCAUUGUUUACGUUGUAAACAUUCAAAUUAAUAAAAUUUCAAGUAUUUUCAAGUUUUAAUUUUCAGCUAUUGUGAUUGCUUUUUGGGGAGGUUUUUUCAACUAUCUCGUUGAAUAAAGAAUUGGUUCUAUUUAUUAAGAUCAUCUCGUAACAUUUUAUCAAUUCUUAUUUUUUUUCUCAAUUACUUUAAUCUGUAAGUAUAGGUUGAUUGUGGGUUAAAUAAGGAAGGCUUAGUUAGGAAUUUAAGUUUUUGCAUGCUAAAUUGUAUGUGUGGAUUUUAGAUUGCAUUAGUUGAUUUUGAGUUCUGCAUCACUAAAACUUGGUAAAAGUGGCUUACACUAGUAGAAUGGUGGUAUAGUACUACUUAUAAAUUUAGUUUAAAAAUGACUCUUUUUCCUUAUACAGGCAUGCUCCUCCCCACUUCCUGGAAAUGGUAGACAUUCAGACACCCUCUAAAGCUAUAAAGGAUUACUUUAUUGAAUAUUGGUGANN
rnacentral:lncRNA from 1 species